rnacentral:rRNA from 1 species
CAGUCGCCGCGGUAAUACGAAGGGUGCAAGCGUUACUCGGAAUUACUGGGCGUAAAGCGUGUGUAGGUGGUUGUUUAAGUCUGUCGUGAAAGCCCUGGGCUCAACCUGGGAAUUGCGAUGGAUACUGGGCGACUAGAGUGCGGUAGAGGAUAGUGGAAUUUCCGGUGUAGCAGUGAAAUGCGUAGAGAUCGGAAGGAACAUCUGUGGCGAAGGCGACUAUCUGGGCCAACACUGACACUGAGACACGAAAGCGUGGGGAGCAAACAGGAUUAGAUACCCGAGUAGUCCCUGUCUCUUAUAC